rfam:Brachypodium distachyon strain Bd21 chromosome 1, whole genome shotgun sequence.
AUGAUACUCCCUCCGUCCCAAAAUAAGUGGCGUGAAAUUGUUUAGAUUCUUAUACAAAUCCACGUCACUUAUUUUGGGACGGAGGGAGUACUUU